rnacentral:tRNA from 1 species
GGCCUGGUAGCCAAGUGGUAAAGCAAGGGUCUGCAAAACCCUUAUACGGGAGUUCGAUUCUCCCCCAGGCCUCCG